CAAAUGGAGGAGGCCAGAGGAGCACAGCAAUGAGGUGGGUUGGCACCUGAAGCCCAAGCUCCAGCCUGACUUUCUUCAAUGCUUACCCCGUUGUUUGGCUCUUUGUUUCAUUAGAAGAUGCGAAGCGCUUGGUACGGCCAGGUACUGGUACCGGGGGCACCAUGAGCCAGAUGAGUAUUGGUGGUCUGAAGCAUUCCAACCGCUGGUCCAAUAUGACAGAGGCCCUUGCGGAAAGAGGUCACGGUCAAGCGGUUUCAGAUGGAAACUAAUCCGGCAAUGCCAUGCUUUCGGACCCUAUGUCGGAAGUAAAGCCAGGUAUCACCAAUCAAUGUCAAAUGAGUGAGGUGGUCCACUUUUUUAUGCUGAAUCGCCUUGCCACCGGCUGAUGGACCCGGCUCGCCGCCAUCGUGAGCCUGUUGGAAGUAUCACGGGACUCUGUGACGGAGCCUUGACCUUUUCCAUUUGAAGGUAUGCCCUGUGACGGCGGCGUCAGACUGGGAGUGCGGCCGGAGCAUGUGGCCCGAGGGCCCUGGCCAUUUUAGGAGAUGCCAACUAAGAGACAACAGCCCGGUGACGGCAGGAACUUCCCAGAUGGCGAGGCGGCCUUCUUUCACACCUGACCUGGAUUCGCAUUCCCGGACCUCCGAGAGAUAAGUGGAGGGCUACGCCUCACAGAGGGGAUGAGAGCGAUGUGCCGGGUCAGGACUCGUCGGAAGGAUUUUUGAAUUAGCUCUGGAGACGGGGAUGUCCAAGAAAUGGCCCCUUUAGGCCACACGAUGGGAAAGUCUCACUUUUGAUCACAAUGCUGAGGCACGUAGGACAGAACAGUCCCGACGCAGAUCGAUUCUAUCUGUGGUGGAGCGCUCCAUACUAGGUGAGGGGGUUCCCACAGGAAGGAGGUAAAGCCGGAUCUCAGCAGUCAAUGUCAAGUGAGCGAGGCGGUCCACUUGCAUUACGCCGAACCCCCUCGCAGAACGGCCGACGGACCCGGCUCGCCGCCCUCGUGACCCCUCCGCAAGUAUCGCAAAGCUCUGCGAUGAAGCCUUGACCUUUUCCACGUGACGGUGCCGUCCGGGUAGCCUUCGGCAACGGCCGAGGAGUUGCGGCGAGUCGGGGAGGGAGGGAGGAGCGAGGGUCCACUCGGGUUUCAGCAAUGCCACAUGGCCUGUCUCCUCGUAGCUCAGCCGACUAAGAGACAACAGCCCGAUGACGGCAGGAGCUUCCCAGACGGUGAGCGGCCUUCUUUUGCACCUGAGGAGGAUUCGCAUCCCUGGAUGUCCGAGAGAUAAGUUGAGGGGAUGCAAGCGGGGUGUCGGGUCGGGGCUCGCCGGGAGGGAAUAUUGAGUCAGCUUCAGAGAUGGGGAUGUCUAAGAAGGGGCCCCUUUAGGGCCCCUAAAGGGCAAGUCUCCCUUUCGAUCACAGCGCUGAGGCGUGCCAGGCAGAGCAGUCCCAGUGCACGUUGUGCAGCUUGUCUAUUGUGUGUUCUGUCUCUACUGGGUGUCUCGUGUCUUCUGCUUUAGCCCUUCGAUGUGCCUGCGGUCAUUCUUCUCACCGAGAGUUUUCUCUCCUCGUUGCUUCCCCGCAUUUGUCAUCUGCUGUAUCACGGGUGCCUGUGUGGGUUUUCUCUGG